UGGAAAGGCGCGCGAUACAGGGUGACAGCCCCGUACACAAAAAUGCACAUGCUGUGAGCUCGAUGAGUAGGGCGGGACACGUGGUAUCCUGUCUGAAUAUGGGGGGACCAUCCUCCAAGGCUAAAUACUCCUGACUGACCGAUAGUGAACCAGUACCGUGAGGGAAAGGCGAAAAGAACCCCGGCGAGGGGAGUGAAAAAGAACCUGAAACCGUGUACGUACAAGCAGUGGGAGCACGCUUAGGCGUGUGACUGCGUACCUUUUGUAUAAUGGGUCAGCGACUUAUAUUCUGUAGCAAGGUUAACCGAAUAGGGGAGCCGAAGGGAAACCGAGUCUUAACUGGGCGUUAAGUUGCAGGGUAUAGACCCGAAACCCGGUGAUCUAGCCAUGGGCAGGUUGAAGGUUGGGUAACACUAACUGGAGGACCGAACCGACUAAUGUUGAAAAAUUAGCGGAUGACUUGUGGCUGGGGGUGAAAGGCCAAUCAAACCGGGAGAUAGCUGGUUCUCCCCGAAAGCUAUUUAGGUAGCGCCUCGUGAAUUCAUCUCCGGGGGUAGAGCACUGUUUCGGCAAGGGGGUCAUCCCGACUUACCAACCCGAUGCAAACUGCGAAUACCGGAGAAUGUUAUCACGGGAGACACACGGCGGGUGCUAACGUCCGUCGUGAAGAGGGAAACAACCCAGACCGCCAGCUAAGGUCCCAAAGUCAUGGUUAAGUGGGAAACGAUGUGGGAAGGCCCAGACAGCCAGGAUGUUGGCUUAGAAGCAGCCAUCAUUUAAAGAAAGCGUAAUAGCUCACUGGUCGAGUCGGCCUGCGCGGAAGAUGUAACGGGGCUAAACCAUGCACCGAAGCUGCGGCAGCGACGCUUAUGCGUUGUUGGGUAGGGGAGCGUUCUGUAAGCCUGUGAAGGUGUACUGUGAGGUAUGCUGGAGGUAUCAGAAGUGCGAAUGCUGACAUAAGUAACGAUAAAGCGGGUGAAAAGCCCGCUCGCCGGAAGACCAAGGGUUCCUGUCCAACGUUAAUCGGGGCAGGGUGAGUCGACCCCUAAGGCGAGGCCGAAAGGCGUAGUCGAUGGGAAACAGGUUAAUAUUCCUGUACUUGGUGUUACUGCGAAGGGGGGACGGAGAAGGCUAUGUUGGCCGGGCGACGGUUGUCCCGGUUUAAGCGUGUAGGCUGGUUUUCCAGGCAAAUCCGGAAAAUCAAGGCCGAGGCGUGAUGACGAGGCACUACGGUGCUGAAGCAACAAAUGCCCUGCUUCCAGGAAAAGCCUCUAAGCAUCAGGUAACAUCAAAUCGUACCCCAAACCGACACAGGUGGUCAGGUAGAGAAUACCAAGGCGCUUGAGAGAACUCGGGUGAAGGAACUAGGCAAAAUGGUGCCGUAACUUCGGGAGAAGGCACGCUGAUACGUAGGUGAAGCGACUUGCUCGUGGAGCUGAAAUCAGUCGAAGAUACCAGCUGGCUGCAACUGUUUAUUAAAAACACAGCACUGUGCAAACACGAAAGUGGACGUAUACGGUGUGACGCCUGCCCGGUGCCGGAAGGUUAAUUGAUGGGGUUAGCGCAAGCGAAGCUCUUGAUCGAAGCCCCGGUAAACGGCGGCCGUAACUAUAACGGUCCUAAGGUAGCGAAAUUCCUUGUCGGGUAAGUUCCGACCUGCACGAAUGGCGUAAUGAUGGCCAGGCUGUCUCCACCCGAGACUCAGUGAAAUUGAACUCGCUGUGAAGAUGCAGUGUACCCGCGGCAAGACGGAAAGACCCCGUGAACCUUUACUAUAGCUUGACACUGAACAUUGAGCCUUGAUGUGUAGGAUAGGUGGGAGGCUUUGAAGUGUGGACGCCAGUCUGCAUGGAGCCGACCUUGAAAUACCACCCUUUAAUGUUUGAUGUUCUAACGUGGACCCGUGAUCCGGGUUGCGGACAGUGUCUGGUGGGUAGUUUGACUGGGGCGGUCUCCUCCUAAAGAGUAACGGAGGAGCACGAAGGUUGGCUAAUCCUGGUCGGACAUCAGGAGGUUAGUGCAAUGGCAUAAGCCAGCUUGACUGCGAGCGUGACGGCGCGAGCAGGUGCGAAAGCAGGUCAUAGUGAUCCGGUGGUUCUGAAUGGAAGGGCCAUCGCUCAACGGAUAAAAGGUACUCCGGGGAUAACAGGCUGAUACCGCCCAAGAGUUCAUAUCGACGGCGGUGUUUGGCACCUCGAUGUCGGCUCAUCACAUCCUGGGGCUGAAGUAGGUCCCAAGGGUAUGGCUGUUCGCCAUUUAAAGUGGUACGCGAGCUGGGUUUAGAACGUCGUGAGACAGUUCGGUCCCUAUCUGCCGUGGGCGCUGGAGAACUGAGGGGGGCUGCUCCUAGUACGAGAGGACCGGAGUGGACGCAUCACUGGUGUUCGGGUUGUCAUGCCAAUGGCACUGCCCGGUAGCUAAAUGCGGAAGAGAUAAGUGCUGAAAGCAUCUAAGCACGAAACUUGCCCCGAGAUGAGUUCUCCCUGACCCUUUAAGGGUCCUGAAGGAACGUUGAAGACGACGACGUUGAUAGGCCGGGUGUGUAAGCGCAGCGAUGCGUUGAGCUAACCGGUACUAAUGAACCGUGAGGCUUAACCUU
rnacentral:rRNA from 1 species